rnacentral:misc_RNA from 1 species
GAUGAAGAACGCAGCGAAAUGCGAUACGUAAUGUGAAUUGCAAAUUCAGUGAAUCAUCGAGUCUUUGAACGCACAUUGCGCCCCCUGGUAUUCCGGGGGGCAUGCCUGUCCGAGCGUCAUUGCUGCCCUCAAGCACGGCUUGUGUGUUGGGCCCCGUCCUCCGAUCCCGGGGGACGGGCCCGAAAGGCAGCGGCGGCACCGCGUCCGGUCCUCGAGCGUAUGGGGCUUUGUCACCCGCUCUGUAGGCCCGGCCGGCGCUUGCCGAUCAACCCAAAUUUUUAUCCAGGUUGACCUCGGAUCAGGUAGGGAUACCCGCUGAACUUAAGCAUAUCAAUAAGCGGACGA